rnacentral:rRNA from 1 species
UGGGGAAUAUUGCACAAUGGAGGAAACUCUGAUGCAGCGAUGCCGCGUGAGGGAAGAAGGUUUUCGGAUUGUAAACCUCUGUCUUCAGGGACGAUAAUGACGGUACCUGAGGAGGAAGCUCCGGCUAACUACGUGCCAGCAGCCGCGGUAAUACGUAGGGAGCGAGCGUUGUCCGGAAUUACUGGGUGUAAAGGGAGCGUAGGCGGGAUCUUAAGUCAGGUGUGAAAACUAUGGGCUCAACCCAUAGACUGCACUUGAAACUGAGGUUCUUGAGUGAAGUAGAGGCAGGCGGAAUUCCUAGUGUAGCGGUGAAAUGCGUAGAUAUUAGGAGGAACAUCAGUGGCGAAGGCGGCCUGCUGGGCUUUUACUGACGCUGAGGCUCGAAAGCGUGGGGAGCAAACA